UUACGGCCAUACCACCUUGAAACACCGGUUCUCUCAAAAUCACCGAAGUUGAGCAAUGUCGAGCCUCGUCACUACCUAUAUGGGUGACCGUUUGGGAAUAACAGGUGCU